GAUGAACGCUGGCGGCGUGCCUAAUACAUGCAAGUCGAGCGAACAGACGAGGAGCUUGCUCCUUUGACGUUAGCGGCGGACGGGUGAGUAACACGUGGAUAACCUACCUAUAAGACUGGGAGAACUUCGGGAAACCGGAGCUAAUACCGGAUAACAUGUUGAACCGCAUGGUUCAACAGUGAAAGACGGUCUUGCUGUCACUUAUAGAUGAAUCCGCGCCGCAUUAGCUAGUUGGUAAGGUAACGGCUUACCAAGGCAACGAUGCGUAGCCGACCUGAGAGGGUGAUCGGCCACACUGGAACUGAGACACGGUCCAGACUCCUACGGGAGGCAGCAGUAGGGAAUCUUCCGCAAUGGGCGAAAGCCUGACGGAGCAACGCCGCGUGAGUGAAGAAGGUCUUCGGGUCGUAAAGCUCUGUUAUUAGGGAAGAACAAAUGUGUAAGUAACUAUGCACGUUUUGACGGUACCUAAUCAGAAAGCCACGGCUAACUACGUG
rnacentral:rRNA from 1 species